AGAAAAAACAAUAUUUCCCCCCUUUUUUUAGUGAAAAGUUGCCAGUCACCCACAUCCAGAUGGAACUCUUUGUUAUGAGAGUGGGUUUUGAAUAUGCCAGAGGUUCCCCAGGCUGUGGCUGAUAGAAACUAGAGCUCCAAACACCUGAAUGGCAGCGGGUUGGUCUACUAGACUUUCAUUUCUUCCACCAAGAUGGCUCAGUUAAGACAAUUCUUCUAAGCAAAAGUCUGGAAGUUAGGGAAUGUGACAGAAGCUCCUCCUCCUAGAAAGGAUUCUG